ensembl:snRNA U6 U6 spliceosomal RNA
GUGGUCACUUCAGCAGCACAUAUACUAAAAUUGGAAUGAUACAGAGAUUAGCAGGGCCCCUGCGCAAGGAUAACAUGCAAAUUCCUGAAACGUUCCCUAUUUAA